AGAAACUUAGGCUAAAUAUACCCAAAGCCUUCAAAGCUUUAAAUAGAAGUUAAAAUCUUCUAGUUUCUG
rnacentral:tRNA from 2 species